rnacentral:rRNA from 1 species
CGCGUAGGCGGCCUGAUAAGUAGGGGGUGAAAUCCUGCGGCUUAACCGCAGGGCUGCCUUCUAAACUGUCAGGCUAGAGCACAGUAGAGGCAGGUGGAAUUCCCGGUGUAGCGGUGGAAUGCGUAGAGAUCGGGAAGAACAUCAGUGGCGAAGGCGGCCUGCUGGGCUGUUGCUGACGCUGAGGCGCGACAGCGUGGGGAGCAAACA